UAAGGAAUAUUGGUCAAUGGACGCAAGUCUGAACCAGCCAUGCCGCGUGGAGGAUGAAGGUCCUCUGGAUUGUAAACUUCUUUUAUCUGGGACGAAACACUUCUUUUCUAAGAGGCCUGACGGUACCAGAUGAAUAAGCGCCGGCUAACUCCGUGCCAGCAGCCGCGGUAAUACGGAGGGUGCAAGCGUUAUCCGGAUUCACUGGGUUUAAAGGGUGCGUAGGUGGGUAUGUAAGUCAGUGGUGAAAUCCCCGAGCUUAACUUGGGAACUGCCAUUGAUACUAUAUAUCUUGAAUACCGUAGAGGUAAGCGGAAUAUGUCAUGUAGCGGUGAAAUGCUUAGAUAUGACAUGGAACACCAAUUGCGAAGGCAGCUUACUAUGCGGUGAUUGACACUGAGGCACGAAAGCGUGGGUAGCAAACA
rnacentral:rRNA from 1 species